GUCGGGGGUCUGGCGUUGCCCUGAGCUGUGGUGUAGGUUGCAGAUAUAGCUUGGAUCUGGUGUUGCUAUGUCUGUGGCGCAGGCCGGCAGCUGUAGCUCCGAUUCGACUCCUAGUCUGGGAACUACCAUAUGCCAUGGGUGCAGCCCUAAAAAGCAAACAAACAAACAAAAAAAGUGACUGAAUUUCACUUGGUCGGACCUCACCAAGGUGGGAACGUGGGGGAAGGAAGGACAGGCGGUCGAGUUGGAUGGAGUGUAGGCGUCUGGGGAGUUGGUAUAAUGCUUCUCCCACAUUGACCUCUUCCCGCCACUGCUAAAGGCACAGGGGAUCCCCCGCCUCUGCUUCCAGACAGUGAUAAUCCUGCCUGACCCGUCUGGGCCAGAGUCUUGCCUUGAGUCUCAUCUUUGGAGCCCAGUUUCCUCUUGGCAGGACCACGACAGGAAACCCAUGCAUGGCGAGGUCCCGCUCCCCACGGAAUGUGUGCUGUGAGGGCCUGAGAGCCAGAUGGAAAAUGCCUCCGAAGUCCUAAGCCAGGCUGGAAAGAUAGAUUGCUGAUAAUGAAGGUCACCCCUCCAUUUAGAGAAUAGUUGGCAGUGAAAUUAAUCCAGGCUCCUGCAUCUGAAGUGCUGGGAAAGUUAGCAAGGCUCAGGGGCUGAAAGGAAGGAAGCAGAGAUGAAGAGGAAGAAAGCUCUCUUCGCCUACAUUAUCUCAACCCUCCCAUCUUCAAAUCGAGGAAGUUUCCGUGAGGGGACUACGUCGCUUACACGCCUGCAAGAACUGAGAGGAGCCACCGCUUAGGAGCUGCUGGGGUCCGACGCCGAUGCAGGUGGCUUCUCUCGGGGUGUGAGCUUGGGUGGGGCUGCUUGCUGCAGGGGUGUGGGCACCGCAUAUGUGUGUGAAGGUCUAGUUGUGUGUCUCCUGGUGGGUAAUUUGUGGGUGUGUGGCUUGUCUGGUGACAGAUGAAGGGCGGCUCUGACGUAACAAAAGGCAUGUUUGUAUCUGCGACUUGAUAAACAGAGACGUUUAGGGCUGGCAGCGUCUUAGAAGUGGCCUGUCCCUGUCCUCCUCCUCUUUUCCUUGGGUUACAUUACAGGUGGUUAAGUGAAGGCUGGUCCCAAGAUGCUCAACUAAUUAUCUCCUGACUCCUUAUCCAGACACACUGGACAACCAGGGUCAGCUAGAUUCUGGGUGAACCCAGAGUUCAGACAAGCCCGUCUGGCCCCGCCUGGUUUGGGGUUGACAGAGGGAGGCAGGGUGAGUACUGGGAAGACAGAAAGGCAUGUUUAUGGCAAAAGACUAGGCACAAUGCCAGGCUCUGUUCAGUAAGGGUUAGUUGAAUUUGAACCUAC
rnacentral:lncRNA from 9 species